rnacentral:sRNA from 1 species
AUCUGUCUGGAAAGCGCUCCCAGCGCGCACCAAAAACCCUUGUAAAUUAUACCUUUAACGCUGCCUCCGCGCAGGGCGGCCCCCCCGGGGGCCCCUCGCAGACGAGGAGCAGGCACGCCGGCGGCCAAGUUAACUCUCGUUUUUACACUGAAACUCUGAGAAAAAAACACAAAUGAAUCAAAACUUUCAACAACGGAUCUCUUGGUUCUGGCAUCGAUGAAGAACGCAGCGAAAUGCGAUAAGUAAUGUGAAUUGCAGAAUUCAGUGAAUCAUCGAAUCUUUGAACGCACAUUGCGCCCUCUGGUAUUCCGGAGGGCAUGCCUGUUCGAGCGUCAUUUCAACCCUCAAGCAUUGCUUGGUGUUGGGGGACUGCCUUUAAAGGGGCAGGCCCUGAAAUCUCGUGGCGAGCUCGCCAGGACCCCCAGCGCAGCACUUAAACCAUCGCUCUGCAGGGACGCGGCGGUGGCCUGCCGUUAAACCCCCAACUUUCGAAAAUUCGAGCUCGGAUCAGGUAGGAAUACACGAUUAACUUAAACUUA